GACACAUCUCAGCUCUUUCACACACAAUCAAAGACAUGGAGGAGAUGAUGAAAGCCACUGACGUCUGCUUUCUGAAGGUCUGAUUUCAGAAUAUUGGUUCAUUGAUUGAGUUGUUGAUGAUAAAUGGUGUGUUUGUUCUCCAGGAGUUUCCAGUCUCAAUGAAAAGAGUCCAGAGCUCGCAGCCGGAUCCACAGAUGGCUUCUGGAGCUUUGAUUCAUGUGCCACGUUACUUGGGCAACCUAACGUUCAGAGUCUGGAAGAAGAUGCAGGACAUCGUCCAAAACAGUGAGUCUCACUGCAGAAGAUCUGAGCUCUCACACAUACACUGGAAAUGAUAGAUGGGUGGAGAGAUAAAGGUGCUACAUGACACAAACUGAUAGAUAGAUAGAAAGACGGACGGAUCAUAUCUGUCAACACUCCCGUUUUUCCUGGGAGUCUCCCGUAUUUCACACACAUCUACCGCCCCCUUACCAUUUUGUUAUUUCUCCUGGGAAACUCCCGUAAUUUGUAUGGCCCAAACCUCGUUAUAUGAAUAAAAAUAUUAAUAUAUUAUUCCAAGGUUGUCCAGUUGCCAGAUCUUGAAUGAAACACAUUCUACUCACAAUCGACACAUCAUACAAAUUUCAACCCAUUUGUGACCUCAACCUGGCAACCUACAACCCAGUUGUGCUGUUGAUAUCUGCACAGGUAGUAGACACGGGAAGUUGAAUCAAGCACCACUGGUAGAAAUGGGAGGAGAAGACUUGGUGGUGCUCCGGCGAAAAAACAAAAUAUACAUGUAAAUUUAACAAUAGCUGGACAGAAGAUAUAUCUCGAAGCCAUAUUGACAAUGCCCACGCCUUUUGCAAAGUGUUGCACUGAUGUUAAUAUUGGACAUGGUGGAAAAAAAAAUGACAUUACUCAGCACAUUAAAUCACAACAGCACAAUCGCGCAGUGGAGGCACAGAAGGGCACCCUGGCCUUCAAUGUAAUGUUAAAUACACGUGUUUUUGUUAAAUGUCCACAUUACACUACCGGAAAACAACAAUAACAGACCAGGGCUUUGUUUCCCAAAACCAUCUUAAAGGGAUAGUUCACCCAAAAAUGAAAAUUCGAUGUUUAUCUGCUUACCCCCAGGGCAUCCAAGAUGUAGGUGACUUUGUUUCUUCAGUAGAACACAAAUGAUGAUUUUUAACUCCAACCGUUGCAGUCUGUCAAUCGUAUAAUGCAUGUCAAUGGGAACUCCAUCUAUAAGAGUCAAAAAAACAUGCACAGACAAAAAAACAUGCACAGACAAAUCCAAAUUAAACCCUGCGGCUCAUGACGACACAUUGAUGUCCUAAGACACGAAACGAUCGGUUUGUGCGAGAAACCGUACAGUAUUUAUCAAUUUUUUACCUCUAAUACACCACUAUGUCCAACUGCCCAACUUCGUUGCGUCGCGUCUGGUUAGGACACGAUGUAAUUGACAUUUACCUGAUUAUUUCAGUCAAGUGUGUCUGUUUGCUAAUUUCUAAACUUUUCGCAUCUAAAAUGUAUUUUCUUGGGAUAUUUUCUUGUCAUUUUACUUGUUUAUUGUUCAAUAAAAAAAAAAAAAAAAAAAAAAAAAAAAAAUAUAUAUAUAUAUAUAUAUAUAUAUAAAACUUUUCGCAUCAAAAAUCGGGUACAGUGGGGCUAAAGGUGCACGGGGUAAAAGGUGCAUUUGACUUUAUUCUCUUAUAAACCACUAGAUGGCACAAAAAUUCAGCUCAGCACUUUUCUUAACAACCGAUUUUGACAAUGAAUGUUGAAAUUUGUCUGAUUCUUGAAGCAAUUGCCGACAGCAACACAAAGUUGAUUCUGUGGUAAUUUGAUCUAGUAUUUGAUGUUUAUUUAAAAUGUUGUAGAUUUAAGUAGCAAAUGAGAAUCUAUAAAAUUACUGUAUAUAUUUUGAGACAAAGGUCUUGUCAAUGAUUUUCAGUUUUGUUCAAGGUAAUUAAAGCAGCAGUUUUUCAGUAACAGAAGAAUAUGUAAAAGUACGGUAUUUGGGGUAAAAGUACUCCUGCUGUUGGAGUGAAAGACAUAAUAAUUAACAUGAUAAUAAACAGCUGCUGACUUUCCAUUUGAUGACAUGACAUGGUUAGAUUCAGAUGGUAAAUAUCAUAAAUUAAGUUCAGCGUCCACCUUAGAGAUAAUCACCAUAUUUAUAAUGUAACCAUCAUAUUUUAAAAUAUGAUAUUAAUCAUAUAAUAUAAUAAAACAUCAUUUAUUGUUACAACUAUAAAUCUAUAUUAAAUUAUUAUGGGAUCUCCUUCAAUGCUUUCAGAAUCUUUAAUUUUUUAAAUAAUUUUGUUUCUGUAUUUUUUAAAGUUUACAUUUUUUACAUUUUUAAGUUUUAACUUAGACAUUAUAAAAUCAUAUUAUUUUAGCUAAAGUAUUUGUGUGUCUUUUGCCCCAUGCUGGUUUUGCACCGUGUGUUUGUGGGGUAAAAGAUCCCCCUCGCCACCUCAUUUAUAUGAUUUGUAAACAAAACAAACCAGUUUUAUGAUUUAUUUUCACACAAAAUCUGUUGCUCCAUCAAUAUUCAAUUAAAAAUGUAUAUUUUUACACUAUUGGAGUGAAAAGCAUAUUUUUGUUAAGGUGUGUCUUUAGACCCGUUGUUCUGAUAAAAUUAUGGAGGUUCAUUCAAGAUUGAUCACUGGAUUAUCCUGUAAAACAGGUGAGAAAUCGACUUGAAAUUGUGUUUUCUGCAAAGAAGGAAAUGAGAGCAUUGUCCAUUUUUUUUUAUGAUUGCAUUUACAUUCUUUUUAUCAUUGUAUUUGUUUCUCCUAGUAUUUGCCUUUAUAUGUUCAUUGUUCACAAGAUUGCAAUCAAUAAAAAUAAAUAAAUAAAUAAAUAAAUAAAUAAAGAGAGAGCUCAUGGUGCAUUACCGCCACCAACUGGACAGGAGUGUGGAGCACAGAAUGGAAAGGAAAAAAUAAAACAAAAAACAAACAAACAAACCUACAAUUACUUUACAGUGUGUCUUUAUAUGAUAUUUAAAUCCUUUUAUUUAAACCUGUUGUUUUGAGACGUUGUAAUAAAGCAAUAUAUUUAUUAUAAAUGCUUAUAUUUAUUUAACUUAUCCUGCCUUUUAUUCAGAUUUCCUUAUAUAUGCUUAACUGUAUAAAGAAUAUUUGUAUGUUGUCUAUUGUUUAUUUUUAUAUAUUUUAUUCACUUAUCUUUGUUUUAUUUUUAUUAUGUGUGUCUUCUUGUUAUUUUUGUCUGUGCACUGUAGCUUCUGUCACUAAGACAAAUUCAUUGUGAGUGUAAGCUUGGCAAUAAUUCUCAUUCUGAUUCUGUGUACUUCAGUUUGUCCUGCAGGGGCACUAAGGAGAUUUUGCAUUGUGAGAUUGUGCUUGUGGAAGCUCAUGUCUUUCUCUUUCAUAUGCGAUACAGAACAGAAGCACAAGUUUGAUUGCAACUUAUAUAGUACUGUUCAGCCUGGUCUCAUUGUUAAUACAUAGGUAUUAAUAGGUAACUUUCAAAGACACAAAACGUACAUUUUUGUACUUUUGGAUAGGUGCUGAAACGUACAAUAUGGACGUAUUGGCAGCAUUUAAACGUAGCAUUAUUACAUUUUUACAGCUAAAAACCGUAAAAUAUUUACGACUCUUUCAUGUCAUAAAGAUAUAUGUAUAAUUUUAUAGAUGGUCCUUCCGCCAAGAGGGACCAUUUCAGUGGAAUGAGGAAGUGGAGAGCUGCUUUUGCACUGUGAAGCAAUUGCUGGUUUCAAGCCCAGCAUUAGCUUUGUAUGACCCUGAUGUCGUUGCGACCCUUGAUGACAUUGCGCAGAACCAUAGUCACUUUAGCACAUGAGAAUCAUCAGGGCAUAGUAAGGACCAAACAGCGUUUGCGUGAGCUGUAUUGGUUUCCAGGAAUAGACGCUAUGGUUCAAACUCAGAUUGCAGCAUGUUCGUUGUGCCAAGAGUCAGACAGGACGGCAAAGACUACUGCUUCUUCAUUACAGCUGGUGCCUCUUCCUGACGGCCCAUGGUUGAAGUUUGGCUUAGAUAUAGUAGGACCCUUUGAGACAGCUGCUUAUGACUCAGACAUGGAAACCCUGAAUGUCUGGUAACAGAUAAUGGACCGCAACUUACCUCUUCAAUCUUUACCGCUUUCCUGGACAAACGGAAUAUUGUGCACACCAAAACGUCCGUAUACCAUCCUGCGGCCAAUGGGGCUGUGGAAAGGAUCAAUAAGGUUCUUAAAGACUGUGUGCAAAUGGCCAUUCUACAGAAGCGGCCAUGGAAACAAGCAGUCUUGGACUUUUUGCAAACCUACCGUUCUACUCCACAUGCAGCAUUUAAACUGUUGUACGGAAGGAAAAUGAGAACCAGACUUACUGUGUUACUACUCCUGUAACACACAGGACCAGGAAGUCAGACAACGAGUGUCAAUUCAUCAAAACAAAAUGAAGUAUACUCAUUAGAAUACUCUAAUGCGAAACAAGGGGCUCGAGUGCCUACAUUUCAGGUGGGGAAUAGAGUGCGUGUACGCAAACCAACGCAUGUUCCCAAAGGACAUUCAAAGUUCACACAGCCUGUGGAACUUGUCCUUGUUCUUCUCACUUGUCCUUGGUUCCAGAGGUUCUAAAGUCGACCUCAAGAUCUGUCUGCUGCUGAUGUGUUCCGAACACUGAACAGAGCAAAGAAAGACGUUCUGUUCGACAGCGGUAAAUAUUGUUUAUUUUACAGCAAAUAAGGGUAUAUGGUAGUUUGAAUUACUGACUAUAUGUAUGUAUAGCACAGAUGGAGAUUGAAAAUAGUCAUGUUAAGAUGCUGUUAUUCUGUUGAAUUUAUGAAGAAGUGAAAUGUUCCUGAGAGUUAGAAUUUAAUAACUGCAGUUGCUUAACUACUGUAAAGGAACGUAGUCAUAAUAAGGUGGAAGCUUAUUGGUUCAUAUUGAAAUUAAUAACUGUUUUGAGUUAAUCGGUACUAAGUGAAAUAGCUUUACGUAAUGGGGGAGAUGUGGUGUCCUGUUAUUCAGUGCAAUACUUACUGAGACCACUAGGGGGAAACAGAUGUUAUUAGGGGAAAUACAAAUAGAAAAGAGGUGAGGAAAAGAAUAAUGAUGAGCAAGAGUUGCAUGUGUGUUAAGAGAUAGUAAUAAAGAAAAGAUGUAACCCGUUCACCUGCUGUGGCCUGGCUUCAUAUUGAUACCUUGAACACAACAAACAAGUUAGGUCAAAACUAAAGCAAUCUAAAAGUAAUCAAAAAUUAGUCCGAUUCUAUUACCUAAAAUGUGUAAUUUAAUAGAUUACGUUACUGACUUCAAUUUCCGUCAUGUAAUUUGUAUACUUACUAGGCUUAACGCUCACUUCCAGGUGUAUCCAAAGCCAAUUCAAGUUUUGUCUGAUAUCAGAAACCACUGUAUUAACACUGUAUUUUAACACUGUCAUUAACAUUCAUUGUCAGUUACAAUCAGAAACAGACUACAAUUUGUGGGCAUCAGACGCUUCAAGCACACACGAGUACUCUGACGGAGAAACUGUUUACUGACAGUGUUGACUCGCCGUCAGAUUGAGUUUCAACAUGGUUAGAAUGCCUUUAUAUUAUGUGUAUUUUGGUGUGCAUAGUAAAUCAGAAUACGCAGUCCAGCCAAGAGGGGGCUGGUAUAGUGAUGUUUUGGUAUCUCCAUCUGGUCCUGUAUCGCAGCUUGACUUUAGCUUAUUUGUAAAAAAAUAAAUAAAUAAAUAAAUCACAACAAAAGGAAACCAGCGCAAACAUGAAAGAUAGGGAUGAAACUUGAUUUAUUUUUCAUAUUUAUCAAUUUAAAAAAAUGGUCCAUAUAUUAUAAGCAAUACAGAACAGUAAAGAUGGAGAUGUAACAUAUUUGAUGAUCACAGAUGUCUGUACAAUUGUGAUAACUUGAUGUUUUCAUAUCAGUGUAUAUACUACAUAUAUGCAUACUUGGUAUCAAUAUUCAAAUUACAGAUAAUCAUUUUUACUAAAUUAAUUGUCACAGAUUAUUUGUGCAAUAUGGUAUAAAAGCUGUUUGACAGCCAGUGAAAACUAUCUUUUAAUGUCAGUUUGCCACAUUUUUUUGGGUGUGCUUUAACUCCCAUCAAAAUGUUUUUUAAAUUUGAGUCUAUAAAUAACCCUAACGUUUGAUCAUAUGAUAUAGUAUACAGUGUCAGAGCAACAAUAAGGCAUGAAAAUGUCUAUAUUCUAAACACUCUAUCCCAUAAAACAUGAUGAGAAUAACUCCACACCGGCAACUGUUAAAGAACAUUGUACAAUACUUAGAAAUAAAUAUGUAUGAGGAUUCCAAUAAAGAAAUCUAUAUACAACAUAUUAUGCAAGUAAAUUUCAACUUUGGAUAUUUAUCUGCAAUUUUCCUAUGUUU